GGGAGUGGGCGGCGCGGGGUGGGUGGAGUGGGUCGGCGGCGGGGAUCCUGCCGAGCCCGCAGCUGCCCUCUUUUAGCGCCGUGUCUCCUCCCCGGCCCUGGCUCGUCCCACCUCAGCCACAGCCCGGCCCCCUGGCCGGCCGAGGUCUCGCCGCCGGCGCCCUGGGGACCUCGUGGGUGUGGCCGGCGGCGACCUCGGCAGGCGACAGCCCAGCAGACGGGCACCAGGUGGACGUGCCAGUCUCCAGACCCCCGUCCCGGUGCAGGGAAGGUGGGCGUUUGGACCCCUGAGGCAGAAACAGGUGCGGCCCCGCCGGCGCAUCCCCCGGAAGGGACGCUGACUUCGUUCCCCUGGAGCCUGCGUCGGGGCCCGCGCUGGGCUGAGAAUUACGGGAACGCCGUGAGAGUUUGCAUUCCGAGGAUUUGGUCUGAGAACCUCACCAGCGAAAUAGAGAACUGCCCCCGGGAGAGCCGGCCCACGUGCCGCCCACCGGCGCCUUGACGGCAGGGAGAGGUCGAGCUUCCAGGGAGCGGGCGCCCGGCGCGGGGCUCCCAGCCUGUCUGUACCUGGUCGAGACACCCCGUGCCAGAGGCGGAACAUGUAUGAAAUGCCAGGUGCCCAGAGGACCCAGGCAGUCCGUCAUUCACAUACCAACCCACGUGCAGGCUUCAAUUCAACCUUGAAGCCAUUUGGGCCUGGGCUUUUUUGAUGACUUAUUUGAUUCAUAGUUUUUUGGUUACUAAUUGAGUCUCUUCACUUGUUAUAGGUCUGUUGAGAUUGUCUAUUUUUUCUUGAGUCAGCCGUCUGAAAAGAACACGAGGUGGACAGGGCAGAGCGGUCAAGGAAAGCCAUAGGAGGAGGGCACUUAUUUGAGCAAAGACCGGCGGGACGUGGGCGUCGAGGGUAAGGAUAUCUGCAGAAGUACUGUCUUGAGCAAGGAGCACGGCAGACAGAGCCUCUGAGACACGAGAGCCUGGAGUGUAAGAAACACAGUAGAGGCCACUAAGUCGAGAACGCAGGAGCUGGAAGGACUGCUGCCCUAUCUAGAAGCUCCAGUACAAUAUUGACUAGAAGCAGCAAGAGUGGACAUCCUUGUCUUGCUCCUGAUUUCAGGGAGGAGGCAUCCAGUCUUUCACCUUUGGGCAACCAACUGCUGCAGCAGCAUCAGCAGUGUCCGGGACUCCACCUCCUACAGAAGUCGUGGAUGUCUCACAUCACAUCACCAUUGCUGCAGAUGCCACAGAAUACCAUUCUGCUCAUCAUUGCUCCAAAAUUACCAUAACUCCUGGACCAGCUGCUUGAUUACAUUAUUUAAUGCAUUCAUAAAGAGGCACAUGCAGUACUGUACCACCGUUUAAAAUUUGUGAUGAAAGUACUUUAAUUUCAUUUUUAAUUUUGUAGGCAUUAAAAGCAUUAUCUGAAUCUCA
rnacentral:lncRNA from 1 species